rnacentral:rRNA from 1 species
AGCGAACGCUGGCGGCAGGCUUAACACAUGCAAGUCGAGCGGGCCUUUCGGGGUCAGCGGCGGACGGGUGAGUAACGCGUGGGAACGUGCCCUCUGGUUCGGAAUAACUCAGGGAAUCUUGAGCUAAUACCGGAUACGCCCUUUUGGGGAAAGGCUUGCUGCCGGAGGAUCGGCCCGCGUCUGAUUAGCUAGUUGGUGAGGUAACGGCUCACCAAGGCGACGAUCAGUAGCUGGUCUGAGAGGAUGAUCAGCCACACUGGGACUGAGACACGGCCCAGACUCCUACGGGAGGCAGCAGUGGGGAAUAUUGGACAAUGGGCGCAAGCCUGAUCCAGCCAUGCCGCGUGAGUGAUGAAGGCCUUAGGGUUGUAAAGCUCUUUUAUCCGGGACGAUAAUGACGGUACCGGAGGAAUAAGCCCCGGCUAACUUCGUG